rnacentral:rRNA from 1 species
GAUGAACGCUGGCGGCGUGCCUAAUACAUGCAAGUCGAGCGAACGGACGAGAAGCUUGCUUCUCUGAUGUCAGCGGCGGACGGGUGAGUAACACGUGGAUAACCUACCUAUAAGACUGGGAUAACUUCGGGAAACCGGAGCUAAUACCGGAUAAUAUUUUGAACCGCAUGGUUCAAAAGUGAAAGACGGUCUUGCUGUCACUUAUAGAUGGAUCCGCGCUGCAUUAGCUAGUUGGUAAGGUAACGGCUUACCAAGGCAACGAUGCAUAGCCGACCUGAGAGGGUGAUCGGCCACACUGGAACUGAGACACGGUCCAGACUCCUACGGGAGGCAGCAGUAGGGAAUCUUCCGCAAUGGGCGAAAGCCUGACGGAGCAACGCCGCGUGAGUGAUGAAGGUCUUCGGAUCGUAAAACUCUGUUAUUAGGGAAGAACAUAUGUGUAAGUAACUGUGCACAUCUUGACGGUACCUAAUCAGAAAGCCACGGCUAACUACGUG